rnacentral:rRNA from 1 species
UACGUAGGGUGCGAGCGUUAAUCGGAAUUACUGGGCGUAAAGCGUGCGCAGGCGGUUCGUCGUGUCUGAUGUGAAAGCCCCGGGCUCAACCUGGGAAUGGCAUUGGAAACUGGCGGACUAGAGUGUGGCAGAGGGGGGUGGAAUUCCGCGUGUAGCAGUGAAAUGCGUAGAUAUCGGGAGGAACACCUGUGGCGAAAGCGGCGCACUGGACCAUAACUGACGCUGAUGCGCGAAAGCUAGGGGAGCAAACAGG